GUAAUUAGGCAGUCACGCUGAGUGAUGUUAGACACAGGGUUCAGAGUCGUUACAGCCCUGCAGAAGAUGAAAGCACCCCCAUCUCCCGGCCCUGAGCUCUUCUCCAUGGCAGUGAUGAUGGGUCAGAGCAGGAGGCAGAGCUCUGUGACACGGGGCUGUGUCAUUUGUCACGGCUCUGGGGUCACAGCAUCCUGUCAGUGCCUGUGACCUCCACAUCCCCGCAGCUCCCAGGGGCACAGGACUGUCUGGAGCAGUAGAUUGGAAGGGCUGGAAGGGAAGUAUCCUCAAGCCAGUGUUGGAUGUCUGUGUCCUGCCUGUGCUAGGAACAAUUCCAGCCCCGUGGUCAGCUGCUCCAUCUGGGGAUGUUCCAGGGGUUUGUACAGCUGUUGACUGCUCCCCUUUCCCAUCUGUUUCAUCUGUUUCUCUCCUCCCUGACUCAUCUGUCCAGUCCACCAUUCCCAGCAUGGCAGCACCACCUGGAGCUGUUGGAGAAGGGAGUUUAGCAGAGCAGGGAAUCCAGGCUGAGCUCUCCAGUUUGCAACUGCUCUUUUUUUUUCUAUUUCUUUUUUUUUUUUUUUUCAGUGUUUGCCUUCCGAAUCCCACGGAAUAGUUACUAAUAUUCCAUCCCUGCUUAUUGAUGGGAAACCAGCUGGAGUGUGAUUGCUUGUUAUAUCUCAGGGCCUGCUGAUAAAUGUCGCUGCUGAGCUGGCCAUUUCCCAGCUGCCCAGGCCUCAGAUCCAGAAAACUUCAUUUUUCUUUUCCCUAAAAAAACUAAAGGGAUUAAAAACUAAAUCCACUGCAUUUACACCCAUCCCUAAAUGGCUCCUGCUCUGGAAGGGCUUUUAGGCACACAAAAAGGACUCAGCUGAACCUUGCUGGCUGCUCCAGGGCUUUUCCUGAGUAUUUUUAGCUCUUCCACAGUUCCAUCCCUCUCCUGCAGCAUCAUCCUGGGUUGGGACAACCCUGGGGCAAGGAGCCCAAAAAUGGCUUCACAUUCCCUGCAGAGAGGGAGCUGAUCCUCCCCUGGGAUGGUUUAAAGAUGGGACUUGGCUUUUCAGCAGCAGCAGCAGCCUCAGAGCCCCAGGACCAUCCACUUUUCCACCUGCUGCUCCUCAGGGAUCAGCACAAGAUGUGAGCAAUGCCCCGAGUCAAGCCCAAGGGUAGGAAAAACCCACAGGAAUCAGGCUCUGUGCCAUUCUCACUCACAGGGAGGAAUUGAUAAAAACAGCAAAAAACCCCAAAAACCUUCAGAGUUCAAAUUCAUCCUUUUUCUUUCUUUUUUUUUUUUUUAUCCCUUUAUGGAAUUUUUUUUCCAGCAUGAUACAAAUACAGUCACAGAGCUCCUCUGAAUAUUUGGAUUUUUUUUUUGUUUGAGCACCGGAUUCCUCUGUUCCCAUUCGCUCAGCUAAUUACCCUUUUAGCUUGCUUUUGCUCUAUUUUCACAGAUCUCCUGGUUUAUUUAUAUCUACCUAUCUAUAAUGAUUUCAGAGCCAUUACUCACAGCAGCACCAGGAAACAUUACAUUUCCCAAUUUACAAUUGCAAUUAUGAUAUCCGUCAGAAACAAAUGCAGCUGCCUUUAAUUUUAAGCAAUAUUUUGAUCAUUGUAAU
rnacentral:lncRNA from 1 species